CUGCCUUGUGCCUCGCUCGAUUGUGUAUUCUGCCAUUACACAUUCUUGAGCUGGAUGAUCAGACAAUUGUUAGAUCAAUGGGCUAUAAAAACCGUUAGACUUCUUUUGAGUACGAAUUUACCUUUGGAUUAUUCCUAUUUAUGGUAAAAUUUGUAAUUAGAGUGUCUCACAAAU
rnacentral:snoRNA from 1 species